ensembl:ncRNA F29F11.17 ncRNA
GUCGUUGCUCUUUUCCACACUGAAUACUGCCUGUUUCGUGUCUCCUUGUGCUCAAUAGCUCAUGGAGUACGUAGUGAGAAAAACGACGAAGACGACGACGAAGAAGAAGAAGGAGAAGAAGAGGCGAGAGAAGGGCUCUUGGAGCAAAAG